GCUGUACACGUGACGAGGGUUUUAGUUGAGUUAGUGAGGUGGGACUGUGGUAGUUAAGUGGUUAUGGUUCAAGAAACUUUUUUUUUUUUUUUUUUUUGGAGAAAGUGAAGAAACUUUGUUCAGGCAUUUUCUCAAACAUGGUGGAGGCAUCAAUGUUAAGGGAGGCUAGGAUUGAUGUUAAACAAUGUUUCAGAUCUGAGAUGGUAAACGAUGUUUACAACCGACGAUGCGCCGGCCUCUUCCGAAGGCAGUGAGGGCUACGACACCGAUGAUGCUGGGCCGACGUUUGUUUGGGGCACGAACAUAAGCGACGUGUUUGAUUAUGAUCCUGACUUGUACACCAAGAUGGUUAGGUACCCACUCGAAGUGCUGGCGAUUUUCGACAUUGUUUUGAUGAACAUGGUGGGACAAAUUAACCCCUUGUUUGAAAACCACAUUCAAACUCGGAUUUUCAAUCUCAAGAGCUCCACUUCAAUGAGAAAUCUUAACCCAUCUGAUGUUGAGAGGAUGGUAUCUCUAAAGGGUAUGAUUAUUCGAAGUAGCCUGAUAAUUCCCGAGAUUAGAGAAGCAAUAUUUAGAUGUCUUUUGUGUAAUUACUAAUCAGAUCCUGUUGUUAUGAAUAGAGGGCAAAUAACUGAACCGAAGAUAUGCUUGAAGGAAGAGUGUCAAGCUAUGGACUCCAUGACACUGGUUCACAACUGAUGCAGGUCAAAAAAUUUGUUGUGAAACAAACGCACCUUUGUACUUGUUGUCCUAUACAUCCGUUUUUGCUGAAUAAUUCUGAAGUUCUUCCACCAAAAAGAAAGGUACAUCAGGCUGAGGGCCUGAGCCCAUCUCUGUCUUAAUGAAUGUUCUAGUUAAUUUGGGGUGAAAAAAUCUGGUUUCAGAAUCUGGCUUCAAUAAUUUAUGAAUGAUGUGGGUAGGUUUUGGUUGUGUGUAAAUUAAAGUUGGGUAGGAAAAAUUAAGGUUGUUAUUGAUGAGGGUAUAUACAUAGGAGAUUGAUGUUGAACUUCAUCUAUUUUAGGUUCAGCAAUCAGCGUGGUGUGAAGUUUUUUUUGGGUGAUUGGGGGUUUACAAUUUGGUUGGGUCAUACAAUUGGCAGUGGAUCUUGGUCAAUCUUGAAUGGUAGGGUGAGUCAUUAAUUUGAGGGUGGGUAGUGGCUUAUUAAUGAUAAGGCCAGGGUUUACAAUUCUGUUUGGGAUGCUGAUUGGUUAAUUCAUGAAAUUGGCGUAUUGGGUCUUGCUUAGUCUUAGGGUAGAUGUCUUAAUAAUGGUGGAGCUUUGCUCAAAGUGUGUAAACAUAACACUGGGUGUGAACUAUACCACAAGAGAUUGAGGGCUUGGUGAAGUAGCAGGGGCCACUAGAAAGAAGAGUAAGAACUUUAUAUACAAAUGAUAUUUGAAGGGAGACCUGCUAGUUAAAGUCCUAUUCACAUGAUUUUUUUAUUUAUUAAAGGAUGAUAUUAUAUUAUGUUCUCCUGUUUUGUUUCACUAUAAUGUUCAAGAGUGACUCAAUAACUUUUUAGCCUCUGUAAUCAAUGUUAAGCUGAAGUUGGAUUUGUGGAAGGUCCUGUAUCGAGGACAGAAAUCAUCUCUUUUUUCUGUGCUCUUUUACUUAAUUAAAGGAAAUGGAAAAUCUCUGACCCCAAAUUCAACUGGCUGGAUUUAGUUGAUUCGAGUGUAAUUCACCUAAAAGGGAAGAGCUUAAGAGCUGUACUUUGUAAAUUAGCUUAAGAAACUAUAUACUGAAGACCAGUUUAUUAAUAGUCAUAAUGAAAGAUGUUAAGGAUUUUCAAUAUUUAAAUUUUGAAUCGUGUUCUGUGUUGUUCUGAUGCAAUUAGCUGUUAAGUGUUGUAUCGGUGUUUGUAUCCUAUUCUUUGUUAUUGAGAUGACUGAUUCUUUCCAAAAAAAAAAAAAAUGUUUAGCUGAUGGAAUUAUUAUCUAGAUAUUCACAUCACAUUCCUUAUACUCAAUAAGUGGGAAGAGUAAAUUGAAGGUUAAUUCUUAGAGUAAAGAAAAGCAUUUAUAAGUUAUUGUUCUCCAUCACAAGCUGUAUUGUUGGAUGGGAAAAGCUUGGUAGGAGUAUCAUUUUAUUUUCUAUAUUUUCAUUCAAAAAAAGAGUAUCAUUUUAUUUUAAUUUGAACUGUCUUCUUUCCCAUGAAUUAAAUAUUAGAACUCGAUCUAAUGUCUUGUACAUUCUCAUCUUCUCUGUAGGUUGUUAUUGUUUUAGUUUAUAAUCCCUUAGGAUUUGAUGUAGUAGUACGAAUUCUUCUGAGUGCUUCUAUUCUUAGUCUUCCUUGUAAUUGAACUUUUUACUUAAUAUAUUUUUUUGUCAAGUGUAAGUGUUGACCAUCAAGUGUAAUAGUGAAAGUGUUGACCAUCUUUUCCUUCAUUGCCCGGUUGCUUCGGAGCUAUGGGAUAUGGUUUUUGGUUUAUUUGGAGUUAGUUGGGUCAUGCCUUUGUCUGUUUUUGGGCUCUUUGCUUGCUGGCAAGGUCGUUUUGGUCACCAUCAUAAUGGAGAUAUCUGGAAGGUCGUUCCUCUUUGUUUGAUAUGGUGUAUUUGGAAGGAGAGAAAUAGUAGGUGUUUUGAAGACAUUGAGCGUUCCAUGCCUGAUCUCAAGCUUCUUUUUCUCCAAUCCUUAUUUGACUGGUUCUCUGUGUGGAGAAACCAGCCUUUUUCUACUAUUUUGGAUUUACUUGACUCUUGUAAUUUUCGUUUUUAAUUUGUUCACCCCUGUAUACUUCCUGUGUACUUGGGUGUCUCUCUUAUUUUGAUAUCAAUGAAUCCUUAUUACUUAUCAAAAAAAAUAUUUUUUUGUCAAU